GUACUCUCACACUUCCAAUUCUUUGGAUUGGGAGCGGUGGACUUGGGUGCUGCUGCUUACCGUGGCUCACCUCAAAUGUGUUAGUGCAACCGUUGGUUAGACAUAGUACAGCGUGAUAAGUAUCUUCGCUGGCGCCUCACUCGAGGGUGGCUGAUCAGGGCUCUGUGCUCCCAAUCGUCUUCGGACAAUCACUGACA
rnacentral:misc_RNA from 1 species